rfam:Schistosoma curassoni strain Dakar, Senegal genome assembly, scaffold: SCTD_scaffold0007976
AUUCAACUGCCGAGUUCCAAAUAGGACGAAAUGCGCGUCCUGAAU